AACGAAAAAAUAACAGGAUGGAGACUACCUGAUUCUUCACCUAUGGCCUUAGCUUCAAAUGCAAGAAGUCCAGCAACUUUCUGAGCUGGUGGAUAUUCUAUCAGAGACUGCAUGAACAACGUUAUGAACAGAAUGAUGUCUAAUUGUCUUAUGGCAAAGUUCAAUAUGAGGGGUGGUGGACAUCUGGAAAAUAAGUCUUUUAAAGGCACACCUUUGUAUUAUGUUAUUCAAGGUAAUUUGGGGAAUAUGUUGAUCUAAAAAAAACUCUUGUUCUUGUAUAUUGAUGUAAUUUUUAUUACUAUGAUUUAUGUAUUUAGGGGACAUCACAGCUCACCUGUCUUUAUCAGAAAUAUCCUGUUCAUUUUUUGACAGUUACACACCUAGUUUAGGGUCUUUCUCAAGGGCACCACAGUGGGAUUGAAGAGCAAGGGUACAAAUGCUGUUGGUCUCACAACUGAUCUAACACUUAUUUAAAGCAUAACA